rnacentral:rRNA from 1 species
CCUACGGGAGGCAGCAGUGGGGAAUUUUGCGCAAUGGGCGAAAGCCUGACGCAGCAACGCCGCGUGUGUGAUGAAGGUCUUCGGAUUGUAAAGCACUUUCGACCGGGACGAAACCUUCAUGGCUAACAUCCAUGAAGCUGACGGUACCGGGAGAAGAGGCACCGGCUAACUCUGUGCCAGCAGCCGCGGUAAU